UUUGUAAGUUGCCCAGUCUCGGGUAUGUCUUUAUCAGCAGUGUGAAAAUUGACUAAAUCAAUGUUAAGCUUUAUUGAGUGCUAUGUGUCAGGCACUAUGUCCAUUGCUUAAGAUUAAUAAGUUAUUUUCUCAACAAUAUUAAGAGGUAAGUACUAGUAUAAGUACUUAUUAGAUGAGAAUUAUAUUUAGCAAAUGUAAUUUUAUUAGGUCACAUGGCUAGAAACUGGCAACUAAGCUUUUGAAUUCCACAUAAUCUGACUCCAGAACUACUGCUAUAUUCCUUGCUACCAUAGUAUGUUGGUAUCACAGAAUAGAGAAAAAUUAAUGAUAACAGAAGAAGAAUAACAAAUAUAGGGAGGUAUUAGAAUUUAUAGCAUAAACAGAAAUUUUGGCCACUGAAAUAGGGACAAAAGUGAAAAAAAUGGGUGCAGCAGAGUAAUCUGCACAAAGAUUUUGUCCUAAAAGGAAGAAAUUCUCUCUGAUAGUUUUUAUGCUCAGAAAAGUAUGGGGAGUUGCCCUUAGUGAGAAGAAAGAGAGAAGGGAUGUGACAGGUUUAAAGAAUGACAACAUAGUAAGUGUAUUAGUCAUGUAGGCUAAUAAAAUACUAAAUAAUAAUUAUAUUAUUUUAUUGUAUAAUAUUAUUUAUAACAUUCAUAAUAAAAUACUCCAUUGCUUAAACAACUGAGAUUUACUGUCUUACAGCUCUGGAGACUGGAAGUCUGAGAUAAGAAUGCCAGCAUGGUUAGGUUCUGGUGAAGGCUAUCUUCCUGAAUUACACGUGGACCUUUUCCUGUGUCCUUACAGGUAGAGGGAGCAGAAAAUGAAGCCAUCAUUUCCGGAAAGGAAAUGGAUGUAAAUCCACAUCUUCCACCAUACUCAUCACAUCUUACAGCUUUCUGCAAUUCCAUCUCUCACUCUUCACACUCAGGAUUCAGAUAGAGCCAUUGUGUAAUUAUAUGUUUUUCAAGAGAAAUUGAUGAGAAUGUGAAUACUCUGAAACAGUAUCUUGUUUCCUCCGAUAAAACACAACAAUAUUUUCUAUUUCUA